rnacentral:rRNA from 1 species
GACGAACGCUGGCGGCGUGCUUAACACAUGCAAGUCGAACGGAAAGGCCCUGCUUUUGUGGGGUGCUCGAGUGGCGAACGGGUGAGUAACACGUGAGUAACCUGCCCUUGACUUUGGGAUAACUUCAGGAAACUGGGGCUAAUCCCGGAUAGGAGCUCCUGCUGCAUGGUGGGGGUUGGAAAGUUUCGGCGGUUGGGGAUGGACUCGGGGCUUAUCAGCUUGUUGGUGGGGUAGUGGCUUACCAAGGCUUUGACGGGUAGCCGGCCUGAGGAGGUGACCAGCCACAUUGGGACUGAGAUACGGCCCAGACUCCAACGGGAGGCAGCAGUGGGGAAUAUUGCACAAUGGGCGGAAGCCUGAUGCAGCAACGCCGCGUGCGUGAUGACGGCCUUCGGGUUGUAAACCGCUUUCGCCUGUGACGAAGCGUGAGUGACGGUAAUGGGUAAAGAAGCACCGGCUAACUACGUG